rnacentral:rRNA from 1 species
GUGGGGAAUAUUGCGCAAUGGGGGAAACCCUGACGCAGCAAUACCGCGUGAGUGAAGAAGGUUUUCGGAUCGUAAAACUCUUUUAUUGGGGAAGAAGAAGUGACGGUACCCAAUGAAGAAGUCCCGGCUAACUACGUGCCAGCAGCCGCGGUAAUACGUAGGGGACAAGCGUUGUCCGGAAUCACUGGGCGUAAAGGGCGCGUAGGCGGUUUUAUAAGUCAGAUGUGAAAGGUACCGGCUCAACCGGUGACGUGCAUUUGAAACUGUAAGACUUGAGUACUGGAGAGGCAAGUGGAAUUCCUAGUGUAGCGGUGAAAUGCGUAGAUAUUAGGAGGAACACCGGUGGCGAAGGCGGCUUGCUGGACAGAUACUGACGCUGAGGUGCGAAAGCGUGGGGAGCGAACAGGAUUAGAAACCCUUGUAGUCC